rnacentral:tmRNA from 1 species
GGGCUUGUACUGGUUUCGACGGGGGUUUUAAAGUUUGGGAAGCCAUCUGCGGCCCCGGGACCGCGUCAUCAACCUGGAAAAUAAUUUUAAACGCAGACGAAAACGUUUUGUGUGCUGCCUAAUGGCAGCUGUCAGAAUUUAGACUCCCACAUCUAAAUCCCUGGCACCAAUUUUAGUGGGGCACUUCGUCUCCAAAGCUUUGAGGGGAUGGAAGAACUUAUGAAGCUACUAAAGCCUUAAGCCUGUCACCGGGCGUAAGGUAGAGGGAAUGUUAAAUCAGUGACUGUGAUGGGAGAUGCCCAAAUGGCGAGGCUUUCGGACAGGGGUUCGAUUCCCCUCAGGUCCA